rnacentral:rRNA from 1 species
UACGUAGGGGGCUAGCGUUGUCCGGAAUCAUUGGGCGUAAAGCGCGUGUAGGCGGCCCGGUAAGUCCGCUCUGAAAGUCGGGGGCUCAACCCUCGGAUGCCGGUGGAUACUGGAUGGCUUGAGUUCGGGAGAGGGAUGCGGAAUUCCAGGUGUAGCGGUGAAAUGCGUAGAUAUCUGGAGGAACACCGGUGGCGAAGGCGGCAUCCUGGACCGACACUGACGCUGAGGAGCGAAAGCCAGGGGAGCAAACGGG